GGUAGAAGGACUUCCUGCAGUUCAGCUCGCCGCCCAGGAACGAGGGCAGCCCGGAGGCGGCCGAGAAGACGGAGGCGGCGGAGGGAGGCGGCGGAGCCGAUAACAAAGUCAGACGAGUCCCCGUCGACCAAAGCAGGGCGAGCUUCAUCCCACAGCCGGCCCCCAUCCGAAGGGCAGCGGCCUAAGCAUCAGAAGAGGAUUUGGAGGUGAGAAUGCAACACCACGGCUGGGUCUGGAGCUACCUGCACCUGCAAAGGAAAAGCGAUCUCAUCUGGACAGCAGGACACGAAGGCCCAGCCCAUAGGGGUGCUCAUAGCCCAAGGCCCUGCUCCGAUGUAAUUGUAUCCAUCGUGGGAGAAGCCCCCUGUUGGACUUCAGCCUGACUCCAGCUGGUGUGGGGUCACCUGGGAGGUGCUGGGACUGUUCACACCACUCCCAGCCUCGCAGCAUUGGGGCCCAGAUGUCAGACUGGUUUUGACAGAUGGAUAAAGCAGCAGGGCAGGGGCGGGCAGGAGCACACAGGCAGGAAACAGGCUGAGUUGUUGCACUGAGAGAGGAAAUCCAAAACGGACAGAUGCUAAUUCCCACACAUGCUUUAUCACUCAGGGUGAUAUAAUAAUAAUAAAGAUGGCAACCGCACAGAUGGGAUGAGUCUUUCUUUACAACGACGCGAUGCAGAGUGAGUAAACCACAC
rnacentral:lncRNA from 1 species